rnacentral:tRNA from 1 species
GUUUUAAUAAUUUAACAAAAAUAUUGGUCUUGUAAACCAAAAAUAAGGACAAGCCUUUUAAAACU